rnacentral:rRNA from 1 species
AGAGUUUGAUCCUGGCUCAGAACGAACGCUGGCGGCGUGCCUAACACAUGCAAGUCGAACGGAGUUAGUUGGUAGCACUCAGUAGUCAGCAGUCAGUAAUCAGUAAAAAAAGGGAGGCCCCUUAAAACUGAUGACUGAUAACUGAAAACUGUGUGCUAUCAGCUAACUUAGUGGCGGACGGGUGAGUAACACGUAGGUAACCAACCCUCAAGCGGGGGACAACUCUUCGAAAGGAGAGCUAAUACCGCAUAAGCUCACGGACUGGGAUGUCUGUGAGAAAAGGAGCAAUUCACUUGAGGAUGGGCCUGCGGCCUAUCAGGUAGUUGGCGGGGUAACGGCCCACCAAGCCAAAGACGGGUAGCCGGACUGAGAGGUUGAACGGCCACACUGGAACUGAGACACGGUCCAGACUCCUACGGGAGGCAGCAGUGGGGAAUUUUGCGCAAUGGGGGAAACCCUGACGCAGCGACGCCGCGUGAAGGAUGAAGGUCUUCGGAUUGUAAACUUCUUUUGUCGGGGACGAUAAUGACGGUACCCGAUGAAUAAGCCACGGCUAACUCUGUGCCAGCAGCCGCGGUAAGACAGAGGUGGCAAGCGUUGUUCGGAAUUACUGGGCUUAAAGGGCGCGUAGGCGGCCAAAUAAGUCUGAUGUGAAAGCCCGGGGCUCAACUCCGGAAGUGCAUUGGAAACUGUGUGGCUUGAGUUCGGGAGAGGAGGGCAGAAUUCCCGGUGUAGGGGUGAAAUCCGUAGAGAUCGGGAGGAAAACCAGUGGCGAAGGCGGCCCUCUGGAACGAAACUGACGUUGAGGCGCGAAAGCGUGGGUAGCAAACAGGAUUAGAGACCCUGGUAGUCACGCUGUAAACGAUGGAU